GAGAGGAGUUGAAUUGUUUCACUUGCAGAAACUGUGGCUGCAGGGAGCAUCCAAAGGGAUCGCAUUGAUCCCUUGAGACACGUUUUCUUCAUUGACAGUAAUCGGAUCAUGCGAUCUUUUUGGAUACCUCCUCCGGCCACUUUUACUAUCCGCCCAUCUUUCACUGGACUUCCCUCUUUCCAUGGAGAAAUCCCUGCGUAGGUAGGUUCGAGCAGGCUGCUGACUGCCUGAGAAUACCCUAAGAGAAGUCAUCUGAGCAUUUACUGGAAGAAGAAGAAGAAGAACUUGAUGCACUGCAUGAUGGCCCUGCAAAAAGUUUUUGGAUUACUGUCGAAGGUCACAAGUACUUGUUCUAAGUUUCUUGCUACUUACAUGAUUCUACACAACAAGUAUAUUGAUGUGUUGAGAGCUGAUACAUAAUUAGUUGAGGACUUUGAUGAAGAAAAUUUCCACAA